rnacentral:rRNA from 1 species
GAAGCUAAAGGAUUUAUUCACUUCCCGAGGGGCUCGCGGCCCAUCAGCUUGUUGGUGAGGGUAACGGCCCACCAAGGCGACAACGGGUAGCUGGUCUGAGAGGAUGGUCAGCCACACUGGAACUGAGACACGGUCCAGACACCUACGGGUGGCAGCAGUCGAGAAUCAUUCGCAAUGGGGGAAACCCUGACGAUGCGACGCCGCGUGGAGGAUGAAGGCCUUAGGGUUGUAAACUCCUGUCAAGAGGGAAUAAGCAAGUGAAGGUACCUCUAGAGGAAGGGGCGGCUAAUUCCGUGCCAGCAGCCGCGGUAACACGGAAGCCCCGAGCGUUGUUCGGAUUCAUUGGGCGUAAAGGGUGCGUAGGCGGCGCGGAAAGUCCGGCGUGAAAGGCAGGGGCUCAACCUCUGGACUGCGUUGGAUACUUCCGUGCUUGAGGACUGGAGGGGAGACUGGAAUUCACGGUGUAGCAGUGAAAUGCGUAGAUAUCGUGAGGAAGACCGGUGGCGAAGGCGAGUCUCUGGACAGAUCCUGACGCUGAGGCACGAAGGCUGGGGGAGCGAACAGGAUUAGAUACCCUGGUAGUCCCAGCAGUAAACGAUGUGAGCUUGAUGUAGGGGGAUUCGACCCCUUCCGUGUCGAAGCUAACGCGAUAAGCUCACCGCCUGAGGAGUACGGCCGCAAGGCUAAAACUCAAAGAAAUUGACGGGGACCCGCACAAGCGGUGGAGUAUGUGGCUUAAUUCGAUGCAACGCGAAGAACCUUACCUGGCCUUGACAUGCAUUGUGUCGUCGGUGAAAGCCGGCUAGUCCUGGAAACAGGACGCUUUGCACAGGUGCUGCAUGGCUGUCGUCAGCUCGUGUCGUGAGAUGUUGGGUUAAGUCCCGCAACGAGCGCAACCCUUGUGGUCAGUUACUAACCGGCUUAGCCGGAGGACUCUGGCCAGACUGCCCUGUCAAACGGGGAGGAAGGUGGGGACGACGUCAAGUCAGUAUGGCCCUUAUGGCCAGGGCUGCACACGUACUACAAUGCCCGGUACAAUGUGAACCGAAACCGCGAGGUGGAGGAAAUCGCUCUUGAAAACCGGGCCCAGUUCGGAUUGGAGUCUGCAACUCGACUCCAUGAAGUCGGAAUCGCUAGUAAUGGCGUAUCAG